UGGAUCCAGACUUUGAUCAUGGCUCAGGAUGAACGCUAGCUACAGGCUUAACACAUGCAAGUCGAGGGGCAGCAUGGUCUUAGCUUGCUAAGGCCGAUGGCGACCGGCGCACGGGUGAGUAACACGUAUCCAACCUGCCGUCUACUCUUGGACAGCCUUCUGAAAGGAAGAUUAAUACAAGAUGGCAUCAUGAGUCCGCAUGUUCACAUGAUUAAAGGUAUUCCGGUAGACGAUGGGGAUGCGUUCCAUUAGAUAGUAGGCGGGGUAACGGCCCACCUAGUCUUCGAUGGAUAGGGGUUCUGAGAGGAAGGUCCCCCACAUUGGAACUGAGACACGGUCCAAACUCCUACGGGAGGCAGCAGUGAGGAAUAUUGGUCAAUGGGCGAGAGCCUGAACCAGCCAAGUAGCGUGAAGGAUGACUGCCCUAUGGGUUGUAAACUUCUUUUAUAAAGGAAUAAAGUCGGGUAUGCAUACCCGUUUGCAUGUACUUUAUGAAUAAGGAUCGGCUAACUCCGUGCCAGCAGCCGCGGUAAUACGGAGGAUCCGAGCGUUAUCCGGAUUUAUUGGGUUUAAAGGGAGCGUAGAUGGAUGUUUAAGUCAGUUGUGAAAGUUUGCGGCUCAACCGUAAAAUUGCAGUUGAUACUGGAUAUCUUGAGUGCAGUUGAGGCAGGCGGAAUUCGUGGUGUAGCGGUGAAAUGCUUAGAUAUCACGAAGAGCUCCGAUUGCGAAGGCAGCCUGCUAAGCUGCAACUGACAUUGAGGCUCGAAAGUGUGGGUAUCAAACAGGAUUAGAUACCCUGGUAGUCCACACGGUAAACGAUGAAUACUCGCUGUUUGCGAUAUACGGCAAGCGGCCAAGCGAAAGCGUUAAGUAUUCCACCUGGGGAGUACGCCGGCAACGGUGCAACUCAAAUGAAUUGACGGA
rnacentral:rRNA from 1 species